rnacentral:lncRNA from 10 species
GCCAGAGGAAGGACAUGGGGCCAAGGGAACCAGUUGUGUGAGCCUGAAGCUUCUAUAGUUGGGGCCUCUUUGAGAAAAAUACAGAAUUGGGCUCAGAGUAUGGGGACUACAGAGUAUGGGCACUGUGAGCCCCAGGUGGGUAGGAAGGUUUUCAGACGGUCGAGUGACAGUCCAAACGGGGUCUGGUCACCUGGGGCGGGGACUUGCUGACCAGCAUAGACAAUGACAGCUGUCCCCACAGGACACCUUGUUGGAGUGUGUGAAUAAGAAGGUCCCCGUACUGCUGUCUCGGGGCAUGGCUCGCCUGGUGGUCAUCGACUCGGUGGCAGCCCCAUUCCGCUGUGAAUUUGACAGCCAGGCCUCCGCCCCCAGGGCCAGGCAUCUGCAGUCCCUGGGGGCCACGCUGCGUGAGCUGAGCAGUGCCUUCCAGAGCCCUGUGCUGUGCAUCAACCAGGUGACAGAGGCCAUGGAGGAGCAGGGCGCAGCACACGGGCCGCUGGGGUGAGUGCAGCCAUGUGGUGUGUGCACCUCUGUGCAGGUGCCAGGGGCACAGCUGGGCCGAAGUGGGCGGGGCCACCAAGCCUGAGCGCCAGCUUGCCUGCUUCCUGUUUCUCAGGUUCUGGGACGAACGUGUUUCCCCAGCCCUUGGCAUAACCUGGGCUAACCAGCUCCUGGUGAGACUGCUGGCUGACCGGCUCCGCGAGGAAGAGGCUGCCCUCGGCUGCCCAGCCCGGACCCUGCGGGUGCUCUCUGCCCCCCACCUGCCCCCCUCCUCCUGUUCCUACACGAUCAGUGCCGAAGGGGUGCGAGGGACACCUGGGACCCAGUCCCACUGACACGGUGGCGGCUGCACAACAGCCCUGCCUGAGAAGCCCCGACACACGGGGCUCGGGCCUUUAAAACGCGUCUGCCUGGGCCGUGGCACAGCUGGGAGCCUGGUUCAGACACAGCUCUUCCAGGGCAGCGGCUCCACUUUCUCAUCCGAAGAUGGUGGCCACAGACUGACCCCCAUCUGAGCUGGGGGGAUGUUCUGCCUCUCCCUGGGUCUGGGGACAGGCCCGCUUGCUGGGUACCUGGUCCCCACUGCUGAGCUGGCCCUUGGGGAGAGGUGAUUCUCAGGGCUGGAGCCUGGGGUGUCCUACAGUGACUCCCUGGGAGCCGCCUGCUUCUUCUCUCCACAUGGAAGCCCAACUGGGGUUGCGUCUGAGGCCUGCCCCCUGGGCUGGGGCCUCAGACCCCCUCAGCCUUGGGACCGUGCCCACGAGGGUCUCCCCUCCUGCACACAGGGCAGUCCUUACUCCCCCACCACUCAGGCCACAGUGGGGCUGCAGGCAGGCGGCUCCUCCUCACCCACCUCUGGGUCCUUGGCUCCCGGGGGCCCCACCUCGGCACACACUGUGCCCCACAAAACUUCAGUGUGGUACAAGGUGGAGAAAGCAUAUCCCACCAACCUCCAGUGUCAGGGUCCAGGAGAGCCUGGGGGUGGGGGGACUGCCUUGUCUCUAGUAGUGUGGCCUGUGCCAGCACCACAGCCGGUCAGAGGAGCGCAGGCAGCGCAGGGCUGGCACGUGACAGGCUCGUCAGCCACCUGGGAACACAGUUCUGGGCAAAGAGGAUCCGAGGUUGAGAGGAAGGAGGGUCCCGGUGUAUCCUGGCCCUGGGGGUCUGGGCGUCCAGCUCAGCCCUGGCCUGGCUGGGUGGUAUUCUGGUAGGGAUAUGGCAGGACUCCUGGCAGGGCCACCUGCAGGACCCUGUCCUGCAGUCCCACACUGUGCAGACCCAGUCCCACACUGUGGCCAGGCCUUACAUCUGGCUGGAAAGCAGAGCCUCCUGGGAACACAUCUGGCUGCACAGGCUGAAAUAUCCACCCAGCAGGCAGAGUGGCGUGGCCUCCCCAUGGGCACAGUGGUGACCCCCUUGAUUCCCACCGUACAACCCCCUCCACCCCCCACUCAGUGCCUCCACAUGCUGCCUGGCACAGACCAGGCCUUUGACAAAUAAAUGUUCAAUGGAUGCAGUUCCAGGACCUGCUUCUUGCUGUCUGCCAGGCACUGCUCUGAGUAAUUUAUACACAUUGAAGUAUGUUCUCCUCACAACUCCUAGGGAUAGGUACUGUUACAUCUCCACUUGCAGGUAGGGAAAUUCAGGCCCAGAACCGUUAAGUAGCUUGACUCCUCCCACAACCCAGAGGCAGAAAUUGUCACCCCCCACCUUAUGUGCCCAGGGUGAGCCUGUGGGUGCUCCUACAGUGGGAGGAAGGGGGGCUGGCACUGGUUGGGGGAAAGGUAAGGGCUGGGGCCAUACUGUGCAGAAUUUUUCUGUUUGCCGUUUUCCAGGGUGGGACAAUCCGUUUAAACCUUCAUCAUGUUAUCAAGGCUCUCUAUGACCCUAAAGUUAAGAAUCACUGGCAUGAACAUGGGAAAAAGUUAUUUUGGGGUUGGAUUUUUACAAAAC